CAUGGAGAAAGCUGCCUUGGCUGGUGUGGUGCAGAGAAGCCAGCUUGUUUAUGUGCUUAUUCCAUG
rfam:Nomascus leucogenys chromosome 13, whole genome shotgun sequence.